rnacentral:rRNA from 1 species
UACGUAGGGGGCAAGCGUUGUCCGGAAUCAUUGGGCGUAAAGCGCGCGUAGGCGGCCCGGUAAGUCCGUUGUGAAAGUCAAAGGCUCAACCUUUGAACGCCGAUGGAUACUGCCGGGCUAGAGUCCGGAAGAGGCGAGUGGAAUUCCUGGUGUAGCGGUGGAAUGCGCAGAUAUCAGGAGGAACACCAAUGACGAAGGCAGCUCGCUGGGACGGUACUGACGCUGAGACGCGAAAGCGUGGGGAGCAAACAGG